rnacentral:tRNA from 1 species
GCAUUGGUUGUUCAGUGGUAGAAUUCUCAGCUUCUAUGCAGGAGAUCCAGGUUCAAUUCCCAGCCAAAGCA